rnacentral:rRNA from 1 species
UCCAGACUCCUACGGGAGGCAGCAGUGGGGAAUAUUGCACAAUGGGGGAAACCCUGAUGCAGCGACGCCGCGUGAGCGAUGAAGUAUUUCGGUAUGUAAAGCUCUAUCAGCAGGGAAGAAAAUGACGGUACCUGACUAAGAAGCCCCGGCUAACUACGUGCCAGCAGCCGCGGUAAUACGUAGGGGGCAAGCGUUAUCCGGAUUUACUGGGUGUAAAGGGAGCGUAGACGGCAGCGCAAGUCUGGAGUGAAAUGCCGGGGCCCAACCCCGGAACUGCUCUGGAAACUGUGAAGCUGGAGUGCAGGAGAGGUAAGCGGAAUUCCUGGUGUAGCGGUGAAAUGCGUAGAUAUCAGGAGGAACACCGGCGGCGAAGGCGGCUUACUGGACUGUAACUGACGUUGAGGCUCGAAGGCGUGGGGAGCAAACAGGAUUAGAUACCCUUGUA